CAACCCCCCCGGACAGACAGGGAGAGCGGCUGCUACCUGUGUCCUGAACUUCACUCGGGAUCAGAUCUUACCCCAUUGAGCAACCCUCCUUCCAACACCCUAGGGCCUCCAGGACCCCCGUGCCAUUAGAGGGUGGUGCCCCCCAUAUCAGUUCUCAUUGUAGGGAGAGCAGGGCAGAAGCCCCCACCCCUGUGCUUUGGUGGGGCUGGGAGAAACCAGCCCGAGCCAGGUGGCUGCCAGGUAAAACCCACCCUAAGACACCAGCACUGUGCAAAGACUGACUUUGUGAUUGGGUCCAGAGGCUCUGUGGGCCAGGAGCAAGGGGUGGGCAGGCCUCAGACCUCCCUCUGAGGCCGAGACUGGCAGCAGCACCCACCUCCCUGAAGGCAGGCAGACCCAGGGAUGCCCACAGAAGGGUCCCUAGGGACAUGGCCAGCAGGAUGCCUGGGAGGGGCUCAGCUCCCUAAAUGGCCUGGGGCACCUCUGUGGGCCUCGCCUUCCCUGUGCCCAGUCCCUCCCUGCUCUGCCAGCCUGGGCAUGGGAGCCUGAGUUGCUGUGUCCCUCCCUUGAGAGUGGAGUGUCCUCAGACCAAGCUCACCCUCAGGACCUAGGGCCCCCUCUCUAGCUGAGGCUCAGCUGACUGAUGCUCCCAUUUCAUCUUGGGGGUAGGAGCGGGGGUCCUGAGCCCCCUCGUGAGUCCCCACCUUCCUGUUAGACGAUUCCCCGUGAGCCUUUUUAUAAAGAAUCGGCUGGGAGCCAGGGAACUUUUGGAAAGUGUAUGGGCCAAGCCAAGCUGCACAAACCUGUCUUCCUCCCAGAGCUGAAAGGGGCCAGGUUGUUCCCAGACGAAUGCAGAGGCGGGGCGGGGGCGAGGGGAGGGGAGAAGGAAGGGGGCUACCUCAGGAGGCCUCGCACACUGUGGAGCCACAGCCAGGGAAGGGGGAGGAUGAGGAGGCACAGCCAGAGGCAGCGGCGGGAGGAGGUCCGGUCCCAGGUGUCUCAUGUAGACUCACAUGCGAGACAUACACACCCCCCAAAGCGCUUGGGUGCAGACUGGGUCACACAGGGAUGCAAGCACGUAGGGAGGCACGCUGGCGUGCACAGACGUUUGCACAGGUACAUACACUGAGGCGGUCACACACACAGCUGCAGAGACGUGCUCAAACAUGCUCCCAUAUAAGGCCCCACCCCACACGUGUGCCAUGGAAUACACAGCGAAAGACGUGUGCAAAGGAUGCGUAUGGAGAAAUACCAAGCCAGACCCAGGAGGCGGGGAGAGGGCUUGACCACGCUGACAACCCAGCUCCCUUGGGCCCAGCACACCCGUACACCCAUGUACACACACACACACACACACACACACACACACACACACACACACCCUGGCCGGGAACCACUUACUUCAUAGGAACUUUUGGAUCCAGGGCAACACGCAAUCAAGACCUUGUGCUGGGAAAGAAAGCGCCUUUGUCUGCUGGGACCGGGGCUUUGGGAGCAGCUGCAGCCUUCCCCAGGACUGGGGCCAGGCCAGUUCCUCGCUUCUGGGUAGGAAGGUCAGGCGGGGCCGGGGCUGAGGGCGAGGGCGCGGGGGCCCGGCAGGCCCUGCCAUAAGCCCCAGAUGCUGUCCUCUGCCGGCUGCACGGAGCCCAGGAAGGCAGUGGUUCCCCGCCCUCGCCUGGGACUGGCCCCAGGGUGACCCAUGGUUCUAACCCUGGCCCUGGUGCUACACUGACCCAGACUGAGGCCCAGCUCCGGCCCCGGGGUUCCACGGCUGCCUUGUGCCAGUGGCCUCGCUUUUUUUAGCAGAGUGAAAGAAAGGUCAGGCUCUGGAAUUAGAAAGAUGUGACAUUGAAUCCUGGCUCUGUCGCUAGCUGGGUGGCUUUGAGAACAGACCUUCCUGAGCCCUGUGUUCAUUGGAGCCCCUGUGACAGUGCUCCAAGCCCAGACGGAGGCACACCUCCUCCUGGAGUCCACAGCCACCUCUGCUCUGCAGGAGCUGUCUCUGGGCCUGGUGGAGCCGGGGGAGCGCCCGCUGCUCUGGUCACAGGGAGGAGGGUGGAGCCCACACCCAAUCCAUCUGACGCUUCUGUGACUCCCCUCCUCCCUUUGGUCCCUUUCCUCCCUCAUGGUCCUGGCCCUGCUGCCCGGUGCCCCACUCUCUCCCUCCACCUCAGAGCCACGUCUUCUGCUGGCGAACCCCCAGUGAGGACAGUCCCGUUUUCUAACUCAAGAGGAUUCAGUCUAGGGACACCCUCCAGAGGUGGGUCCCAACAGUCCCAGGACCCUUCUGCUGGGGGCUCUUCCCUGCAUCUGCAACCUGCAAACACCUUCACGGUGUCACCACAAAGCCGGGAAUGUCAUUCUCGUAGCUCUUCCUCUUCCCUGGGGUAUCUCAAGGCCAGGGCAUGCCUGGCACCGAGCCUGGUAUGAGGCCGUUACUGUCAGACUCAGCAGUGGCUUUCAGAAGUUCAGGUGCAUUCAGCUACCACUGCCCCUUGGUGGGUUUCUAGCUUUUGCUCUUACUGUAACUUGGUGCCUCUCUUCUCACAUAUCUCUCAUAAUUGCAUGUCAGUCAAAUACCUUGUAUCCUUACUGUUAAUAGAAUUGUACUUUUUUAUAGAAAAUAACGAAGUUCAACCAGCCAAGUGUGGGGAGUGGCAGUUCAAGUGCUCUGCCCUGUCACUCGCGGUACAAUUCAUUUGUGCAUUGUUGAUGGGUUGAAUGCCGGCUCCCUGCCAGACCUGGAGCGGCCCAGAGGGAGCCCACCGAGAGCCCACUGAGAGCCCUGUCUAGAAAGACCCAGAAGAAGAGCCCAGCGGGGGACGAGGACAGUUUUUAAAGUCGUACUUGCAACCUAAACAAAAAAGAGAGACAGAAAAGGAGAAGUAGGAGGGGGAAGAGGAAGAGGACAAGAAGAUGAGGCGAGGAGGAUGAGAAGAAGUAAUCCGAUGGUCCUAGAAAGAUCUGACUCAGAAGUGUUGGAGAAGUCACAGUCCUAAAAGAGACAAUGUGAAAACCAAGCCCUCCUCUCUCACUCUCCACACUGCCCCAGGCAAGUCCUUUUCCCUGAAGGGAACCAGCCAACACUUCCCAUUGGCUUUGGUUUGAAAUGCGUUGGUUUUUUUUUUUAAUGUUUAUCUAUUUACUUUGAGA